AAAAAAGGUAAGCUACUAAGAGCGAAUGGUGGAUGCCUUGACUGGUAAAGGCGAUGAAGGACGUACUAGACUGCGAUAAGCUACGGGGAGCUGUCAAGAAGCUUUGAUCCGUAGAUUUCCGAAUGGGGCAACCCAAUGUAUAGAGAUAUACAUUACCUAUAUAGGAGCGAACGAGGGGAAUUGAAACAUCUUAGUACCCUCAGGAAAAGAAAUCAAUAGAGAUUGCGUCAGUAGCGGCGAGCGAAAGCGCAAGAGGGCAAACCCAGUGCUUGCACUGGGGGUUGUAGGACUGCAAUGUGCAAGAGGUAAGUUUAGCAGAACAUUCUGGAAAGUAUAACCAUAGAGGGUGAUAGUCCCGUAUGCGAAAAACAAACCUUAGCUAGCAGUAUCCUGAGUAGGGCGGGACACGAGGAAUCCUGUCUGAAUCUGGGUCGACCACGAUCCAACCCUAAAUACUAAUACCAGAUCGAUAGUGCACAAGUACCGUGAGGGAAAGGUGAAAAGAACUGAGGUGAUCAGAGUGAAAUAGAACCUGAAACCAUUUGCUUACAAUCAUUCAGAGCCCUAUGUAGCAAUACAGGGUGAUGGACUGCCUUUUGCAUAAUGAGCCUGCGAGUUGUGGUGUCUGGCAAGGUUAAGCAAACGCGAAGCCGUAGCGAAAGCGAGUCUGAAUAGGGCGCUUAGUCAGAUGCUGCAGACCCGAAACGAAGUGAUCUAUCCAUGAGCAAGUUGAAGCUAGUGUAAGAACUAGUGGAGGACUGAACCCAUAGGCGUUGAAAAGCCCCGGGAUGACUUGUGGAUAGGGGUGAAAGGCCAAUCAAACUUCGUGAUAGCUGGUUCUCUCCGAAAUAUAUUUAGGUAUAGCGUUGUGUCGUAAUAUAAGGGGGUAGAGCACUGAAUGGGCUAGGGCAUACACCAAUGUACCAAACCCUAUCAAACUCCGAAUACCUUAUAUGUAAUCACAGCAGUCAGGCGGCGAGUGAUAAAAUCCGUCGUCAAGAGGGAAACAACCCAGACUACCAGCUAAGGUCCCUAAAUCUUACUUAAGUGGAAAACGAUGUGAAGUUACUUAAACAACCAGGAGGUUGGCUUAGAAGCAGCCAUCCUUUAAAGAAAGCGUAAUAGCUCACUGGUCUAGUGAUUUUGCGCGGAAAAUAUAACGGGGCUAAAGUAAGUACCGAAGCUGUAGACUUGCACACAACUUAGAUUAUUUAAGUUUAGAAUAUGAGAAACUAAGUUAUAUGUUUAGUUAUAUUUUUACUGAUUUUUAUAGAGUAAAGAUAGAAAUAAAACUUAGUAAAAUCAGUAAAAAUAUUCUUAGACUAAAGUUAAGUAGUUUAAGUUGUGUGCAAGUGGUAGGAGAGCGUUCUAUUUGCGUCGAAGGUAUACCGGUAAGGAGUGCUGGAGCGAAUAGAAGUGAGCAUGCAGGCAUGAGUAGCGAUAAUUAAUGUGAGAAUCAUUAACGCCGUAAACCCAAGGUUUCCUACGCGAUGCUCGUCAUCGUAGGGUUAGUCGGGUCCUAAGUCGAGUCCGAAAGGGGUAGACGAUGGCAAAUUGGUUAAUAUUCCAAUACCAACAUUAGUGUGCGAUGGAAGGACGCUUAGGGCUAAGGGGGCUAGCGGAUGGAAGUGCUAGUCUAAGGUCGUAGGAGGUUAUACAGGCAAAUCCGUAUAACAAUACUCCGAGAACUGAAAGGCUUUUUGAAGUCUUCGGAUGGAUAGAAGAACCCCUGAUGCCGUCGAGCCAAGAAAAGUUUCUAAGUUUAGCUAAUGUUGCCCGUACCGUAAACCGACACAGGUGGGUGGGAUGAGUAUUCUAAGGCGCGUGGAAGAACUCUCUUUAAGGAACUCUGCAAAAUAGCACCGUAUCUUCGGUAUAAGGUGUGGUUAGCUUUGUAUUAGGAUUUACUCCGAAAGCAAGGAAACUUACAACAAAGAGUCCCUCCCGACUGUUUACCAAAAACACAGCACUCUGCUAACUCGUAAGAGGAUGUAUAGGGUGUGACGCCUGCCCGGUGCUCGAAGGUUAAUUGAUGGGGUUAGCAUUAGCGAAGCUCUUGAUCGAAGCCCGAGUAAACGGCGGCCGUAACUAUAACGGUCCUAAGGUAGCGAAAUUCCUUGUCGGUUAAAUACCGACCUGCAUGAAUGGCGUAACGAGAUGGGAGCUGUCUCAAAGAGGGAUCCAGUGAAAUUGUAGUGGAGGUGAAAAUUCCUCCUACCCGCGGCAAGACGGAAAGACCCCGUGGACCUUUACUACAGCUUGACACUGCUACUUGGAUAAGAAUGUGCAGGAUAGGUGGGAGGCUUUGAGUAUAUGACGCCAGUUGUAUAUGAGCCAUUGUUGAGAUACCACUCUUUCUUAUUUGGGUAGCUAACCAGCUUGAGUUAUCCUCAAGUGGGACAAUGUCUGGUGGGUAGUUUGACUGGGGCGGUCGCCUCCCAAAUAAUAACGGAGGCUUACAAAGGUUGGCUCAGAACGGUUGGAAAUCGUUCGUAGAGUAUAAAGGUAUAAGCCAGCUUAACUGCAAGACAUACAAGUCAAGCAGAGACGAAAGUCGGUCUUAGUGAUCCGGUGGUUCUGUGUGGAAGGGCCAUCGCUCAAAGGAUAAAAGGUACCCCGGGGAUAACAGGCUGAUCUCCCCCAAGAGCUCACAUCGACGGGGAGGUUUGGCACCUCGAUGUCGGCUCAUCGCAUCCUGGGGCUGGAGCAGGUCCCAAGGGUAUGGCUGUUCGCCAUUUAAAGCGGUACGCGAGCUGGGUUCAGAACGUCGUGAGACAGUUCGGUCCCUAUCUGCCGUGGGCGUAAGAAGAUUGAAGAGAUUUGACCCUAGUACGAGAGGACCGGGUUGAACAAACCACUGGUGUAGCUGUUGUUCUGCCAAGAGCAUCGCAGCGUAGCUAAGUUUGGAAAGGAUAAACGCUGAAAGCAUCUAAGCGUGAAGCCAACUCUAAGAUGAAUCUUCUCUAAGCUCUCUAGAAGACUACUAGUUUGAUAGGCUGGGUGUGUAAUGGAUGAAAGUCCUUUAGCUGACCAGUACUAAUAGAGCGUUUGGCUUAUCUUUAAUAAAGCAU
rnacentral:rRNA from 2 species